UAGCCCCUCGCCUUGAGCUUCAAGAG
rnacentral:piRNA from 1 species